CGGACCGGCGCACGGGUGAGUAACGCGUAUGCAACUUGCCUAUCAGAGGGGGAUAACCCGGCGAAAGUCGGACUAAUACCGCAUGAAGCAGGGGCCCCGCAUGGGGAUAUUUGCUAAAGAUUCAUCGCUGAUAGAUAGGCAUGCGUUCCAUUAGGCAGUUGGCGGGGUAACGGCCCACCAAACCGACGAUGGAUAGGGGUUCUGAGAGGAAGGUCCCCCACAUUGGUACUGAGACACGGACCAA
rnacentral:rRNA from 1 species